rnacentral:rRNA from 1 species
UACGUAGGGUGCGAGCGUUGUCCGGAAUUAUUGGGCGUAAAGGGCUCGUAGGCGGUUUGUCGCGUCGGGAGUGGAAACUCAGGGCUUAACCCUGAGCCUGCUUCCGAUACGGGGCAGACUAGAGGUAUGCAGGGGGAGAACGGAAUUCCUGGUGUAGCGGUGAAAUGCGCAGAUAUCAAGCGGAACACCGGUGGCGAAGGCGGCCUUCUGGACAGUGACUGACGCUGAGACGCGAAAGCGUGGGGAGCAAACAGG